GGGAAGCCAUCUUACAGACCACGGCAAAGGUGUGCAAGCAACUAGCCUCUGUUGAGGGAAGAGACUUCACUCUGCCGCCUGGACCACUGACUGCAGAGUCUCUGGCUCUAGCCUGCUCCUCAUCGGGGUCUGCUAAGAGUUUCCUGAGUGCCAUAUCAGACGUCACCUGGAGAAAUGCUGGAGUUGACUUCCGUCACACGUCCGAUGAAGAGUACCACUUUGAUGGGGAGAGGUUCGUGGAGGGGCGGAAACUCAUCACAGAUGGUGUGAGCUCUGUCAAAGCCAGCAUCAAGCAAGGGAACUUUGAGGCAGCAAGACAGAAGCUGGGAGACAUUUUACACACCUUACAGGACUUCUACAGUCACAGUAACUGGAUAGAACUGGGCAACAGAUUUCCCCAUUCCAAUCUUAUCAGAUCAGACUUGUCAGACAUCGGCCCUGUUGCAGAUAAGAACACGCCCACAUGUCGGAGCUGUGU